GUCCGCACCAUAAACGAUGGAUACUAGGUGUUUGGGAAGUUAACCUCCUGAGUACUGAAGCUAACGCAUUAAGUAUCCCGCCUGGGGAGUACGGUCGCAAGGCUAAAACUCAAAGGAAUUGACGGGGCCCGCACAAGCGGUGGAGUAUGUGGUUUAAUUCGAAGCAACGCGCAGAACCUUACCUACUCUUAACAUCCCCACGACGAUUGCAGAGAUGUAAUCUUCCCUUCGGGGACGUGGAGAUAGGUGCUGCAUGGCUGUCGU
rnacentral:rRNA from 1 species